UCAGUGUAUAUCCUAGAGGUCUUACAGGCGCCACAGACACCUAUCAGCCUUUUGUAAGGAGGAGCAGCGCGAGUGCGGUGCGAGCCCUUCAAAUUAGAAAAGUGAUGAUGAUCUUGUCAAUGCUGAGAUUUUCAUGCAUCAACAGCCACUACAUCUGGAUCAGAUUGAACAAGAAACAGACAGCAAGGGUUGUCAGGUCAGAAACAGAAUGACACACAAACACGAGAAACUUCACAGGCAGAUCAACAUGCAAUUUGAAGACGUGUGAUAAAAUACAGAGAUGUGAAGUCGUGUGUCUUUCCAGAUGCCCAAAUCAUUCCCCCUUAAAAGAUGAGCCUGAAGAGGAGAUUUGGGAAGAUGCUGUUUCAUAAGUCGCUUUGCCAGAUCACCUGUGGUCGGGAUGUCUGCUAACAAGAUGCCUUGCUGGUUUGGGCGAGUUUAAAGUCUAACACAGACAGUCCAGAGGUUCUGAAGUCCAUCUUCGAUCUCAAUGAUGCUGUCAUCGUAUUAAGUACAGCAUGAGCCAGAAUGGAUGGGUGGUGGUGGCCAUAAGAAGACUGUCAACUAAAUCAACAACAAAAUUCAUAUUUGCAUUUUUUCUUGAAUAAAGUUUUUCUAUUCAGAUGAAUAAAAUGACUU